AGCUCCAAUAGCGUAUAUUAAAGUUGUUGCAGUUAAAAAGCUCGUAGUUGGAUCUCAGGCGCAGGCGAGCGGUCCGGCUCGCGCCGGUUCACUGCUCGUUGUCUCCUGCCCUACCGUCUGUCGGCUUUCUCCCGCGGGUGCUCUUCACUGAGCGUCCCGGGUGGCCGGCGCGUUUACUUUGAAAAAAUUAGAGUGUUCAAAGCAGGCUGUUACCGCCUGAAUAUUGGUGCAUGGAAUAAUGGAAUAGGACCUCGGUUCUAUUUUGUUGGUUUUCGGAAUUGGAGGUAAUGAUUAACAGGGACAAACGGGGGCAUUCGUAUUGCGGCGUUAGAGGUGAAAUUCUUGGAUCGCCGCAAGACGAGCUACUGCGAAAGCAUUUGUCAAGAAUGUUUUCAUUAAU
rnacentral:rRNA from 1 species